GACAGAGGGGGCAAGCGUUGCUCGGAAUCACUGGGCGUAAAGGGCGCGUAGGCGGGAUGGCAAGUCAGUCGUGAAAUCUCUCGGCUCAACCGAGAAACGUCGGCUGAUACUGCCGUUCUUGAGGGAUGCAGAGGAGACUGGAAUUCCCGGUGUAGCGGUGAAAUGUGUAGAGAUCGGGAGGAACACCGGUGGCGAAGGCGGGUCUCUGGGCAUCUCCCGACGCUGAGGCGCGAAAGCGUGGGGAGCAAACGGG
rnacentral:rRNA from 1 species